rnacentral:rRNA from 1 species
UACAGAGGGGGCAAGCGUUGUUCGGAAUUACUGGGCGUAAAGGGCGCGUAGGCGGCCUUCUAAGUCGAACGUGAAAUCCCUGGGCUCAACCCAGGAACUGCGUCUGAUACUGGAAGGCUUGAAUCCGGGAGAGGGAUGCGGAAUUCCAGGUGUAGCGGUGAAAUGCGUAGAUAUCUGGAGGAACACCGGUGGCGAAGGCGGCAUCCUGGACCGGUAUUGACGCUGAGGCGCGAAAGCCAGGGGAGCAAACGGG